rnacentral:rRNA from 1 species
UACGGAGGGUGCGAGCGUUAAUCGGAAUUACUGGGCGUAAAGCGCGCGUAGGCGGUUUAUUAAGUCAGCUGUGAAAGCCCCGGGCUUAACCUGGGAACUGCAGUUGAUACUGGUCGACUAGAGUGCAAGAGAGGGAGGUAGAAUUCCAUGUGUAGCGGUGAAAUGCGUAGAUAUGUGGAGGAAUACCGGUGGCGAAGGCGACUGCCUGGCCCAAUACUGACGCUGAGGUGCGAAAGCGUGGGUAGCGAACAGG